CUAGUCGAUGGACCAAUGUAGGUAAGGGAAGUCGGCAAAACGGAUCCGUAACCUUGGGAUAAGGAUUGGCUCUGAGGACUGAGCCGGUCGGGCUGGGGACCUGAAGCAGGAACGGCACUGCACCGGGACUGGGCGGGGCUCGCCGUUCACGCGGCGCGGCCAAGCCCGGACCAGCGUCGGGACCUUCCUGUGGAAAGCCUCAGCUGCGCGGCGUCUGAGGGCUUCGUGCCCAAAGUGCUAUGCUUCGGCCGGCAAAAAACAGUCAACUCAGAACUGGCACGGACCGGGGGAAUCCGACUGUCUAAUUAAAACAAAGCAUUGCGAUGGCCGCUGGUCGGUGUUGACGCAAUGUGAUUUCUGCCCAGUGCUCUGAAUGUCAACGUGAAGAGAUUCAUCAAAGCGCGGGUAAACGGCGGGAGUAACUAUGACUCUCUUGUGAGCGGGCUUAGCGCACGCGUUGGAUCACAGAGGGUAGCCCCGAUAGGAUCACCCUAUUCGGCGUUUGUUUCGAGUUUGGCCGCUCGGAGCACCUAGUUACUCGGGGAGUUGGAGCGUGACCAUAAAGUUCGGACCUUGACUAUGGAUCACGGUAGAGCCUCCGACUUCCCACGGGAUGUGUACCUCCUCGAUGGUACCGCUGGAAACGGUUGUCUGAACACCGGCCAAACCACGUCCCAAACCCAGGAUCUACGGGGAAACCCUCCCCGCAGGUUCAAAAGCGGCUCGGCAAGUCCGAAAACCCACAAAUCGGAAAGCCACGGGUCAAUGCCCGACGCUCCGAGCCCUAAGCGUUGCUUGUCAGCCAGAAGGUCGCAAGGUGGACCCGGAGCGGAGGCUCCUCCCGGCGGACCCGAGCGGGAUCUGUCGGAGGUGGCUGCUCGGGAGCCUGCACCGAAAACAGGAAAGCAAAAGGACAAAGCUAAGACCAAGCACAAGGGAAACACGAG
rnacentral:ncRNA from 1 species